rnacentral:misc_RNA from 1 species
AAAUGCGAUAAGUAAUGUGAAUUGCAGAAUUCAGUGAAUCAUCGAAUCUUUGAACGCACAUUGCGCCCCUUGGUAUUCCGAGGGGCAUGCCUGUUCGAGCGUCAUUACACCACUCAAGCUAUGCUUGGUAUUGGGUGCCGUCCUUAGUUGGGCGCGCCUUAAAGACCUCGGCGAGGCCUCACCGGCUUUAGGCGUAGUAGAAUUUAUUCGAACGUCUGUCAAAGGAGAGGACUUCUGCCGACUGAAACCUUUUAUUUUUCUAGGUUGACCUCGGAUCAGGUAGGGAUACCCGCUGAACUUAAGC